AGAUUCCCAAAAAUAAAGGUAGCACAAAAAAAAUACCUCCUUCCCCUCACAUUCGUUCUUCGCUUCUUUCUGUCUCCCCGACACUUAUCUCUUUUCCUCUUCACCUUCGUUUUCUUCCACCUCACUCAUCACCUUCGUCUCCUCGCCGCCGGAGAUCAUCGUCGAACCUCUUUGUUGGCGGCUGCUUAAUUGUUCUUUGUUGUUGUGGUGUUGAUUGUUGCAGUAUAGCUUCUUUAUCCUCAUCUCUUGUCUUCGCACUCUCUCUCGCCUCCAGUCCGCACCGCUGCUGCCAAUGGUGGUCGUGAAACCUUCAUCAACUGUAAUCCAUUAUCAAUUGAUUAUUUAUCUCCUAUUGUUCGGUGCACCACUUCCUCCGUCGUCGGAGCCGUGUUGUGGUGGUGGUGAUGCCCACCUUGUGGGUUAUUCGUUGACUUGUCGUUGCGGCUCUACUCUACCCAUGUUGUCCCCUGCAUCGUCUCUUCUGGAGCUCCAUGGGUUUCCGUAGUUGCGGUUUCUUUUGGUGUUGGUUGGGUCCUCUUUAUUCCUCCAUUUCAUUUAAUGGUGAAUCAUGUCCCAACAGCAAGUCAUCAAAUUCGACCAUAUGGCUGAUGAGCAGGAUGUGGCAGAAUUCAUUGAUGUUAUUGUGAGUUCUUUUUGGGAAAUGGGAUAUUGAAUAUUUACUUAUUUUGGUGUGAUUAGGAACGUAAGUCAAAAGAGAAAAGGUGUACCAUUCAAGACUGGUCAAGGGUACUAUUCUAAAUUUUCAAGUUUGUAGCUUUCUACUUUUCUGCACUGGUUUGUGAGAAAAAUAGCCAAUUCUUCCAGAUGUUGCUUUUUCUUUCGGUUCUUCAUGUUUCACUGCAUUGUUCCCGAAUGUUAAUGCUUAUUUAGAGACUAACCAUCAGUUUUCUCUCAUAAGGUACGUGGUAAUAUAUGAGGAGUUUUGUAGCUAAAAAUUGUAGGAAUAGUCAUUUUAGUCAAAAUAUGACCUAUAAUGAACAAACAAGCUUCAAUUGUGCAUAACUUGACCAAUGUAGGUGAGAAUGAGCCUUAUAAACAUUAAAAUAAGUCUAAUAAACAUGUAAAGUAUUUAAAAUACUUAUUUCGGUUCAUUAGUUGAAAGUUGAGACCGAAAUAAGCCAUUUAGUCAAAAUGUGACCAAUAACAAUCAAACGAGCCUUAAAUGAGAAUAACUUCACCAAAGUAGGUAAACAUUAGUACUUGAUACACAAAAUAAUAAAUAUUAAACAUGUAUAGGGUUUAAAAUACUUAUUUAAGUUCAUUAGUUGAAAAUUAUGAGUUAAAUAAGCUAUUUUAGUCAAAAUGUGACCUAUAAUGAUUAAACGAGACUUAAUGUGCAUACCUUGACCAAAAUCGGUGAGUAUGAGCGUUAGGAACAUAAAACUAAGUAUAUUAAACGUAUAACGGGUUUAAAAUACUUAUUUAAGUUCAUUAGUUGAAAGUUGAGACCGAAAUAAGUAAUUUUAGUCAAAAUGUGACCUAUAAUAAACUAACGAGGCUUAAAUGUGCAUAACAUCACUAAAAUGGAUGAGAAUGAGUCUUUGAAACAUAAAACAUAGUGUAUCAAACAUGGAAAGACUUUAAAAUACUCAUUUAAGUUCAUUAGUUAAACGUUGAGACCAAAAUUAGCCAUUUUAGUCAAAAUGUGACCGAUAAUGAACUAACGAGGCUUAAAUGUACAUAACUUCACCAAAAUGUAUGAGAAUUAGUCUUCGAAACAUAAAACUAAGUGUGUUAAACAUGGAAAUACUUUAAAAUACUCAUUUAAGUUCAUCAGUUGAAACGGAAAUUAUCCAUUUCAGUAAAAACGUGACCGAUAAUGAACUAUCGAGGCUUAAAUGUGCAUAACUUCACCAAAAUGGUGAGAAUGAGUCUUUGAAACAUAAAACUAAGUGUAUUAAAUAUGGAAAGACUUUAAAAUACUCAUUUAAGUUCAUUAGUUGAAAGUUGGGACCUAAAUUAGCCAUUUUAGUCGAAAUGUGACCGAUAAUGAACUAACGAGACUUAAAUGUGCAUAACUUCACUAAAAUGGGUGAGAGUGAGUCUUUGAAACAUAAAACUAAGUGUAUUAAACAUGUAAAGACAUUAAAAUACUCAUUUAAGUUCAUUAGUUGAAAGUUGGGACCGAAAUUAGUAAUUUUAGUCAAAAUGUGGCCGAUAAUGAUCAAACGAGUCUUAAAUGUGCAUAACUUCACCAAAAUGGGUGAGAAUUAGUAUUUCAAACAUAAAAAUAAAUGUAUCAAACAAGGAAAAGACUUUAAAAUACUUAUUUAAGUUCAUUAAUUGAAAGUUGGAACCGAAAUUAGCCAUUUUAGUCAAAAUGUGAUCGAUAAUUAACUAACGAGGCUUUAAUGUGCAUAACUUUUCCAAAAAGGGUGAGAAUGAGUAUUUGAAAGAUAAGAUUAAGUGUAUUAAACUUAUAAAGACUUUAAAAUACUCAUUUAAGUUCAUUAGAUGAAAGUUGGGACCGAAAUUAGCCAUUUUAGUCAAAAUGUGAUCGAUAAUGAACUAACGAGGCUUAAAUGUGCACAAGCUCACCAAAAUGCGUGAGAAUGAGUCUUUGAAAACAUAAAACUAUGUGUAUUAAACAUGGAAAUAAUUUAAAAUACUCAUUUAAGUUCAUUAGUUGAAAGUUGGGACCGAAAUUAACCAAUUUUAUUAUUAUACGGUUCAUUAUUUCUUUGUUUAAUUUGAACAAAUUAAGUCUUAAUUUAUUGUAUGAUUCAAUAUAUAUUUAUAAUAUAACUAAAGUGUAUAUAUAUUCUUUGAUGGUUGAUAUUUUUAAGGUAUUCAAUAAUCGGAGGGAGCGGCCUUUCACCUUUGAGGAGAUAGAUGAAGUUCGAGAAAUGUUGGCAAACUUCAUUACGAGUGAUUGUCUUUGAUAUUUUCUUGUACUGAAUCUUAAAUUAUGGAUUCAAGUUUUUCAUAUGAUUGUAAUGUAAUCGAAUUUUACAUUUACAAGUAUAUACUAUUUAAUUUAAUUAUCUAUAAAAUUGGAUACUUUUUAUGUGA